AGUGAACGCUGGCGGUAGGCCUAACACAUGCAAGUCGAACGGCAGCACAGUAAGAGCUUGCUCUUACGGGUGGCGAGUGGCGGACGGGUGAGGAAUACAUCGGAAUCUACUUUUUCGUGGGGGAUAACGUAGGGAAACUUACGCUAAUACCGCAUACGACCUACGGGUGAAAGCAGGGGAUCUUCGGACCUUGCGCGAUUGAAUGAGCCGAUGUCGGAUUAGCUAGUUGGCGGGGUAAAGGCCCACCAAGGCGACGAUCCGUAGCUGGUCUGAGAGGAUGAUAGCCACACUGGAACUGAGACACGGUCCAGACUCCUACGGGAGGCAGCAGUGGGGAAUAUUGGACAAUGGGCGCAAGCCUGAUCCAGCCAUACCGCGUGGGUGAAGAAGGCCUUCGGGUUGUAAAGCCCUUUUGUUGGGAAAGAAAAGCAGCAGGUUAAUACCCCGCUGUUCUGACGGUACCCAAAGAAUAAGCACCGGCUAACUUCGUG
rnacentral:rRNA from 1 species